AUACGGAGGGUGCAAGCGUUACUCGGAAUCACUGGGCGUAAAGCGCGCGCAGGCGGGCUGAUAAGUUGGAUGUGAAAGCCUACGGCUCAACCGUAGAACUGCAUCCAAAACUGUCAGUCUAGAGUGUGGGAGAGGAAGAUGGAAUUAGUUGUGUAGGGGUAAAAUCCGUAGAGAUAACUAGGAAUACCAAAAGCGAAGGCAAUCUUCUGGAACACUACUGACGCUGAGGCACGAAGGCGUGGGGGGCAAACAGGAUUAGAAACCCCGGUAGUCC
rnacentral:rRNA from 1 species